rnacentral:rRNA from 1 species
GACGAACGCUGGCGGCGUGCUUAACACAUGCAAGUCGAACGGAAAGGCCCUGCUUUUGUGGGGUGCUCGAGUGGCGAACGGGUGAGUAACACGUGAGUAACCUGCCCUUGACUUUGGGAUAACUUCAGGAAACUGGGGCUAAUACCGGAUAGGAGCUCCUGCUGCAUGGUGGGGGUUGGAAAGUUUCGGCGGUUGGGGAUGGACUCGCGGCUUAUCAGCUUGUUGGUGGGGUAGUGGCUUACCAAGGCUUUGACGGGUAGCCGGCCUGAGAGGGUGACCGGCCACAUUGGGACUGAGAUACGGCCCAGACUCCUACGGGAGGCAGCAGUGGAGAAUAUUGCACAAUGGGCGGAAGCCUGAUGCAGCAACGCCGCGUGCGGGAUGACGGCCUUCGGGUUGUAAACCGCUUUUGCCUGUGACGAAGCGUGAGUGACGGUAAUGGGUAAAGAAGCACCGGCUAACUACGUGCCAGCAGCCGCGGUGAUACGUAGGGUGCGAGCGUUGUCCGGAUUUAUUGGGCGUAAAGGGCUCGUAGGUGGUUGAUCGCGUCGGAAGUGUAAUCUUGGGGCUUAACCCUGAGCGUGCUUUCGAUACGGGUUGACUUGAGGAAGGUAGGGGAGAAUGGAAUUCCUGGUGGAGCGGUGGAAUGCGCAGAUAUCAGGAGGAACACCAGUGGCGAAGGCGGUUCUCUGGGCCUUUCCUGACGCUGAGGAGCGAAAGCGUGGGGAGCGAACAGGCUUAGAUACCCUGGUAGUCCACGCUGUAAACGGUGGGUACUAGGUGUGGGGUCCAUUCCACGGGUUCCGUGCCGUAGCUAACGCUUUAAGUACCCCGCCUGGGGAGUACGGCCGCAAGGCUAAAACUCAAAGGAAUUGACGGGGCCCCGCACAAGCGGCGGAGCAUGCGGAUUAAUUCGAUGCAACGCGUAGAACCUUACCUGGGUUUGACAUGGAUCGGGAGUGCUCAGAGAUGGGUGUGCCUCUUUUGGGGUCGGUUCACAGGUGGUGCAUGGCUGUCGUCAGCUCGUGUCGUGAGAUGUUGGGUUAAGUCCCGCAACGAGCGCAACCCUUGUUCACUGUUGCCAGCACGUUAUGGUGGGGACUCAGUGGAGACCGCCGGGGUCAACUCGGAGGAAGGUGGGGACGACGUCAAGUCAUCAUGCCCCUUAUGUCCAGGGCUUCACGCAUGCUACAAUGGCUGGUACAGAGAGUGGCGAGCCUGUGAGGGUGAGCGAAUCUCGGAAAGUCGGUCUCAGUUCGGAUUGGGGUCUGCAACUCGACCUCAUGAAGUCGGAGUCGCUAGUAAUCGCAGAUCAGCAACGCUGCGGUGAAUACGUUCCCGGGGCU